GCUGCCAUGGCGGCGGCGGGGCCCUCAGGGAGGCCGGGAGCGCCGGGGGAGCUGGAAAGUCCGGGGGAACCAGGGAGAACCGCGAGGCAGGGCCCCUCGGCGAGUGAAGGUGUCACAGACAGAAACAAGCACAGGAGCAUUGAACCAUCAUCUGUGUGAGGGGAAGAGGGGCGAGGGACACCCCGGGGCUUGCUGCCCCUGGCCACCCAGCCCCGCUUUCCACAGUUAACUUCCUUGGUUUCUGCUUUUCUCCAGGUCAGCCAGCGAGUCCACAAUCUCUGCAAAACACAAGGAUGGCAUUAACCAACACAGGGAAUUCUGGUAGGCUUGUUUGGAUUUUUUUAACAGAUGAGAAGAUGGCUUUCCCUCACUGAUGACGUCUGGGACACGGAGUCACACUCUCCUUGGGCCAGCACAAACGGGCAGGGAUUAGCAGGGGACAGGCCUGAGCAGACAGCUCAGCCCAAACAGAAGUAGCCGUGUUUAUGGAAACACCCUUGUGAACAGCUGCAAUAAACCAUCCUUCCAGCUCAGCACCACACGGUGGUAGGUGUUGGAUUAUGAUCACAUUAGGGUAAUAAAGCCAUUCUGUUUCCUCAA